rnacentral:rRNA from 1 species
ACCCGCUGAACUUAAGCAUAUCAAUAAGCGGAGGAAAAGAAACCAACAGGGAUUGCCCUAGUAACGGCGAGUGAAGCGGCAACAGCUCAAAUUUGAAAUCUGGCCUUCGGGUCCGAGUUGUAAUUUGUAGAGGAUGCUUUUGGUGAGGUGCCUUCCGAGUUCCCUGGAACGGGACGCCAUAGAGGGUGAGAGCCCCGUCUGGUUGGACACCGAUCCUCUGUAAAGCUCCUUCAACGAGUCGAGUAGUUUGGGAAUGCUGCUCUAAAUGGGAGGUAUAUGUCUUCUAAAGCUAAAUAUUGGCCAGAGACCGAUAGCGCACAAGUAGAGUGAUCGAAAGAUGAAAAGCACUUUGAAAAGAGAGUUAAAAAGUACGUGAAAUUGUUGAAAGGGAAGCGCUCAUGACCAGACUUGGGCUUGGUUGAUCAUCCAGGGUUCUCCCUGGUGCACUCUUCCAGUUCAGGCCAGCAUCAGUUCGCUGCGGGGGAUAAAGGCUUUGGGAAUGUGGCUCCUUCGGGAGUGUUAUAGCCCAUUGUGUAAUACCCUGUGGUGGACUGAGGACCGCGCUUUUGCAAGGAUGCUGGCGUAAUGGUCAUCAGUGACCCGUCUUGAAACACGGACCAAGGAGUCGUCUUCGUAUGCGAGUGUUCGGGUGUUAAACCCCUACGCGUAAUGAAAGUGAACGCAGGUGAGAGCUUCGGCGCAUCAUCGACCGAUCCUGAUGUUCUCGGAUGGAUUUGAGUAAGAGCAUACGGGGCCGGACCCGAAAGAAGGUGAACUAUGCCUGUAUAGGGUGAAGCCAGAGGAAACUCUGGUGGAGGCUCGCAGCGGUUCUGACGUGCAAAUCGAUCGUCAAA